AACGCAGCGAAAUGCGAUAAGUAAUGUGAAUUGCAGAAUUCAGUGAAUCAUCGAAUCUUUGAACGCACCUUGCGCUCCUUGGUAUUCCGAGGAGCAUGCCUGUUUGAGUGUCAUUUAAUUCUCAACCUUAUUAGCUUUUGCCGAUAAUGGCUUGGAUGUGGGGGAUUAUUUUUUUGCUGGCUUCUUUCAGAGGUCAGCUCCCCUGAAAUGCAUUAGCUGGUUGCCCCGCGUGGACCGUCUAUUUGGUGUGAUAAUUAUCUACGCCGUGGAUGUCUGCAAUUGGUUUUGGCACUGCUUCUAACCGUCUAUUUCAUUUGGACAAUACAUGACAAUUUGACCUCAAAUCAGGUAGGACUACCCGCUGAACUUAAGCAUAUCAAUAAGCGGAGGAAAAGAAACU
rnacentral:rRNA from 1 species